rnacentral:rRNA from 1 species
GCGCCCUGCUGGACAGUGACUGACGCUGAGGCACGAAAGCGUGGGGAGCAAACAGGAUUAGAUACCCUGGUAGUCCACGCCGUAAACGAUGAGUGCUAGGUGUUGGGGGGACACACCCCAGUGCCGAAGGAAACCCAAUAAGCACUCCGCCUGGGGAGUACGGUCGCAAGACUGAAACUCAAAGGAAUUGACGGGGGCCCGCACAAGCAGUGGAGCAUGUGGUUUAAUUCGAAGCAACGCGAAGAACCUUACCAGGGCUUGACAUCCCUCUGACCGGUGAGAGAUGUACCUUCCCUUCGGGGCAGAGGAGACAGGUGGUGCAUGGUUGUCGUCAGCUCGUGUCGUGAGAUGUUGGGUUAAGUCCCGCAACGGCGCAACCCUUGAUCUGUGUUACCAGCACGUAGAGGUGGGGACUCACAGGUGACUGCCGGCGUAAGUCGGAGGAAGGCGGGGAUGACGUCAAAUCAUCAUGCCCUUUAUGUCCUGGGCUACACACGUGCUACAAUGGGCGGUACAACGGGAAGCGAAGCCGCGCAGGUGGAGCAAAACCUAAAAAGCCGUUCGUAGUUCGGAUUGCAGGCUGCAACUCGCCUGCAUGAAGCCGGAAUUGCUAGUAAUCGCGGAUCAGCAUGCCGCGGUGAAUCCGUUCCCGGGCCUUGUACACACCGCCCGUCACACCACGAGAGUCGGCAACACCCGAAGUCGGUGAGGUAACCGUUAUGGAGCCAGCCGCCGAAGGUGGGGUUGAUGAUUGGGGUGAAGUCGUA